CAACUGAUCGGUGAAGUCGAGUAAACGUAUGUGCGUCGUUUUUUAUGAACAAGAACAAGGAGAGGAAUUCUACGGUCCUUGGGGUGGAGAACUUCCAGCCUAUCACCCGGAGAUGUAUGGAUAAUUACUCACUUACUGUUACCAAUUACUUCAACCCG